UACGUAGGGGACGAGCGUUGUCCGGAUUUACUGGGCGUAAAGGGAGCGUAGGCGGACUUUUAAGUGAGAUGUGAAAUACCCGGGCUCAACUUGGGUGCUGCAUUUCAAACUGGAAGUCUAGAGUGCAGGAGAGGAGAAUGGGAUUCCUAGUGUAGCGGUGAAAUGCGUAGAGAUUAGGAAGAACACCAGUGGCGAAGGCGAUUCUCUGGACUGUAACUGACGCUGAGGCUCGAAAGCGUGGGGAGCAAACAGGAUUAGAUACCCCCGUAGU
rnacentral:rRNA from 1 species